GAUGAACGCUGGCGGCAUGCCUAACACAUGCAAGUCGAACGAGACCUUUCGGGGUCUAGUGGCGCACGGGUGCGUAACGCGUGGGAAUCUGCCCCUUGGUUCGGAAUAACAGUGGGAAACUACUGCUAAUACCGGAUGACGACGUAAGUCCAAAGAUCUAUCGCCGAGGGAUGAGCCCGCGUAGGAUUAGCUAGUUGGUGAGGUAAUGGCUCACCAAGGCGACGAUCCUUAGCUGGUCUGAGAGGAUGAUCAGCCACACUGGGACUGAGACACGGCCCAGACUCCUACGGGAGGCAGCAGUGGGGAAUAUUGGACAAUGGGCGCAAGCCUGAUCCAGCAAUGCCGCGUGAGUGAUGAAGGCCUUAGGGUUGUAAAGCUCUUUUACCAGGGAUGAUAAUGACAGUACCU
rnacentral:rRNA from 1 species